UACGUAGGCAGCAAGCGUUGUUCGGAGUUACUGGGCGUAAAGAGUGCGUAGGUGGUGCCCUAAGUCUGUUGUGAAAUCUCCCGGCUUAACUGGGAGGGUGCGGUGGAAACUGGGGUGCUUGAGUGUGGGAGAGGGAUGCGGAAUUCCAGGUGUAGCGGUGAAAUGCGUAGAUAUCUGGAGGAACACCGGUGGCGAAGGCGGCAUCCUGGGACCAUUACUGACACUGAAAAGCGAAAGCCAGGGGAGCAAACGGG
rnacentral:rRNA from 1 species